GGAUCCGGACCCACCGGGGAGAGGGGUCCCCUUCUCUUGUAUCCGGGGCUGGUGGUGCUGAGACUCAGAGAAUUCGAGGCCACGUUCCUUUACUUUUCCUUUACUACCCCACACUGGGGAUGGCUGUCGAGUGUGGCCUUACCACUCUGUAAUCUGUACAUCCCCUCAGUUUCUCCGUAUGUGGAGGGCCAGUGGCGCAAUGGAUAACGCGUCUGACUACGGAUCAGAAGAUUGUAGGUUCGACUCCUGCCUGGCUCGAAUUUUUGCCAAAAUAGAUUUUAAAAACCAAAGAUUAUUACUUCUUUACGGUUCUUCAAAUCACAAACACUAAGAAUAUUUUACCGCACUUUGAACUCAGAAAGCUGUUGCGCGUCGUUUCCAGUACCACCCCGUCGAACUCUCGAGCACUAACGAGACGCUGCCGCCCCCGAGAGCGCUGCGGCCCCCGCUGGAGGGCCGCGCUGAGGAAAGCUGGGGGUGAGUCGCUCAGGGACUCCAGGUUUGUUGACAGAACCUUGAAAAUUAGGCCGCAAGGAAAGAGCCUUCAUCUUAUUCCUACCUUCUCCUCAUUUUACAGAAAAGAAAGUGCAUUGCAGAUCUCUGAGAAGAGAUGAAUCUGGACAACAUUUCAGGAGUGAAGAUUAUUUGGGUACCAGAGCAGCUUACUCAGAAGCAUAAAACCUUCACCAGGCUGGAGAACAACUGGAAAGUCCACAUCUAAAAAUAAACAAAGCAAAGCAAUAAACACCGUCUGAUCAUGUUACAUUUCCUUUAAUGGGGCAAGUGGUGGAUAUUUUUGUUGAAAUGAUGAU